rnacentral:lncRNA from 1 species
CUUCUCAUUUUCUACCUUCUUCUUUACUCACUUACCUUCUUUCUUACCUGACCUUUCACUAUUCAUAAAUAUAAUCUAUCUUCCCUUUUGCUGAUAAUUCACUGUAAUUUAAUGUGUACAAUGACCCAUUGAACCACUCGGAAUACUAAGGAUACUAGGGUCGUUCCUGUCUAUCAAUAUCCUGCCAAUGCCAUGUCUUCGACAUUGACUUACAUGAAUUAUUCCUGUCUCCAAUGCCAUAUAUAUAUAAUAUGGGCUUACAUGGGUCAUUCUUGUCUCCAAAGCCAUAUAACUGAUAUGGACUUACAUGGCUCAUUUCUGUCCUGUCCUGUCCUGUCAACCCCAAUAUUCUAACAUUCCUAAGGUUCAAACGGGGCUUCCUAAUGUUUUUUCUCUAUCACUUCGCCUUUAAUUCGACUUUAAAUAUUCAAAGAAAAUAAGUAUACAAAUGCUGGAAAUUGACAAUAAUAAUAUAAAAUAAAAGAAUAUUGCAUUUAUUUACUGUAAACUUACCUCGAUACAAAAUGUGACUAAACUUUACAAUUUAGUCCUUUACUUUUUCUUUUCCCUGAUCUACUCCCGAAUUUCACUCUUCUUGAUUUAUAAUAGAAAAUUUAACUUAUUUAAUAUUCAAAUUUAUCAAAACAGUCCUUGACCCAAACUUUGGAAAAAUUACAUUUUUGCCCCUAAACUUUCACAUAUUUUCACUUUUUCCCCAAGGCUCGUAAUUUAAACUUCAUCCUAUUUUCUUAUGUUUUAUAACAUGCUGAUCAUUUUUCCCUUCUAUGACAACAUCAAAUUCACACUCUAACAUGUACUUAUGACUAUUAGGUAUUUUUACCGAUUAAGCCCCUUUUACUCGUUUUCACUUAAAACCGAGUAGCACAAUUUUCUAACAUAAUUUAAAACCUCAUAUUCUAUCAUAAAACAUCAAAAUAAACACUUUUCACCUAUGGGUAUUUUUCCAAAUAUGAACCCUAACCUAAAGUAUUACUAGCAUAAGCUUUAUCGAGCUACCGGGACUCUGAAAACGUAAAGAACAUUAAAAAUGGGGCUUGGAAUCACUUAAUAUGGAGCUUGAAACAAACCCUAGCUAUGGAGAACCCUUGAAAUUUCGUGCUAAUGAAUAAGAUGAUGAAUUUUGUGUUAUUUUUCCCUUUUUAUUUCAUUUAAUAUCCAAAUAACCAAAAUGCCCUUCCUUAUUAAACUUUCAAAAAUUCCAUCCAUGUCCUAUUUUGUCCAUGAACUUAGACAUUAGUCAAAUUGUUAUUUAAACCUUCCUAAUUAAUAUUCCAAAGCAAUUUCAUACUAAAAACUUCUAGAAUGCAAGUUUUGCAAAUUAUUCGAUUUAGUCCCUAAUCUCAACUUAAGCACUUUAUGCAUAGAAUUUCAUCACGAAAUUUUCACACAAUCAUGCAAUAAUAUCAUGAACCUCAAAAUAAUAAUAAAAUAAAAUUUUCUACCUCAGAUUUGUGGUUUCGUAACCACUGUUCUGUUUAGGCCCUAUUUCGGGAUGUUACAUUUCUCCCCCCUUUAGGGAUUUUUGUCCUCGAAAAUCUUACCUGUGAAGAGAUUUGGAUACUAUUUUUGCAUAGCCUCUUUGGGUUCCCAUGUAGCCUUGUCUACCCCAUGUCUAUUCCAUAGUACUUUCACAAGUGCAAUACUUUUGUUCCUUAAUUGCUUUAUCUACUAAUACAUGCUUGCCUAAUGGAUUCGAUACUUUAAUCACAAAUUCUGUAGAUUCUAUAGGCAUACUUGUACUAGACAUCAAUUUCUCACAAACAUAUGAAUGAGUUAAACUCGGAUCAAUCAAAGCAAUGACAUUAAUAUCAUAUAGAGAAAAUAUACCCGUAAUCACAUCGAGGAAGGAUGCCUCUUCGCGUGCACGAAUAGCAUAAGUCCUUGCAGGGGCUCUAACAUCUGGUCUCACAGCCGAAUCUCUUGAGGUACCUCUAUUACUUGCUCCUACUCCCGGUUGCCUCGGUGAUCUACCUCUAGUAGGAGCAUUUCUAGAUCUAGCACUCUGUGUUAUCUCUCGAUUAGCCACCUCUGGACAUUCUCGUACAAAAUGAUCUGGAGCGCCACAUUUAUAACAAACAUUUUCGCCUGCCCGACAAGGACCAUAGUAAAGUCUACCACACCGUGAACACCCUGAUCUACCCUGUCCAACAUUACCUACACUUGCAGUCGAGGUGUUCUGAGCCUUCGAAUCCUUAAAUCUGCUGCCUCUUUUCUGACUAGAAUACCCGGCUGAGAAACUAGAUCUGGUAGAAAGCUCCUUUGGUCUUUUGGAUGUAGCCUGGAAUGACCUGCUCAUCUGUCUCUUCUUUGUAUCUUGUGUCUCUGUCUUAACUUUGCCUUUUGUUUUUAACAGCUCCUCUGCCUUACAGGCUCUUUCAACUAAAAUAACGAACUCUUUUAUUUAUAGGACACCCACUGACAGUCGGAUAUUAUCAUUUAACCCAUCUUCAAACCUUUUACACAUAAUAGCCUCUGUGCACACACAUUCUCAAGCAUAUUUACUAAGCCUGAAAAAUUCGCGCUCAUAAUCGGUCACUGUCAUAUUACCUUGUUUCAAUUCCAGGAAUUCCUUUCUCUUCUGAUCAAUAAACCUCUGACUGAUGUAAUUUUUACGAAAUUCCUCCUGAAAGAAAUCCCAAGUGACCUUCUCCUUUGGUACAACUGAUACAAGUGUCUUCCACCAGUAGUAGGCUGAGUCUCUAAGAAGUGAUACUACACAUUUCAUACAUUCCUCAGGUGUACAAGAUAAUUCGUCAAAGAAUCUGAUAGUAUUUUCUAACCAAAAUUCUACUCUUUCUGCAUCAUCAUCUUUUGUUGCUCGGAACUCUUCUGCCCAUUGUUUCCUGAUUCUAUUAACUGGUGGCUUUUCUCUUAUCACUGUACCUGUGACUGGGGGAGCUUGAGCUACAUGGGUAGCCUGAGAAUCAUGAGGGGGUGGAGGUCUAACUACCAGAUUCAUACGAACGAACUCGGCAAACAAAUCAUUCAAAGCUUGGAAGAGAGCUUCUCGAGUCACUCCUUCCUGAUUAACUACUACUGGCCUAUUCUCAGAUGGCGCUGCCCCUUCCGUGGGAGCAGGCACAUUACUUUCUACAUCAUCAUCACCAGCUCACUCGGGAUCCAUUACUAUAAAACAAAACAUCUAAAAAUCGUCAGGAGUCAUCACACUAUCAAAAUACAGGUAUGGCAUGUAUAGCUAGACUUUUACACAUACUAACUGUUUUGAGAACCGACUAAACCUGCUCUGAUACCAAUAAAUGUAACACCCCCACGCCCGAAACGACACCGGAGUCAAGCUUGAGGUGUUUCUAAACUUAUCUUACCUUUUAAACAACUCUAAACCACUUAUUUUAAUUUUUGGAAUAAACUAUUUUUCUGCGUCAUGGUUUCUUAAAAAUUCAUUUCUCUAGUUUCAAAAAUCAAAAUUAAGAUCCGUAAAUUUUUCCUAAAACUAGACUCAUAUAUCUAUCUACUAAUUUUUUCUAGAAUUUUUUUACUUAGCCAAUUAGUACAGUUUAUUAGUUAAAGUUACCCCUAUUUUAGAAUUUGACUGCACCGGCCUCUACUUACUACGAACCAUUUUUCUCUCUAUACAAAAAUUAUAUGACUAUACCGUUUGUUUCUAUUAAAACUAGAUUCAAUAAGAAUUCUAACCAUAUAAAUUAAACCACCUAAUUAUGUUUUUAAAAUUUAUGGUGAAUUUCUAAAUUUGGAAUAGGGGAUCCAGAAAUCGCUCUGGCCCUAUUUCACCAAAACUUAGAUACCCUAUAAAAUACAAAACUUUUACCUGUUUUGCUUAUUCCAUAUGAAAAUAGACACAACGAGCUUUAAUUUCAUAUAUUAUUCACCAUCAACCUAUGUCUCUAUAAUUUCUUGUGAUUUUUCAAAUUCCUGUUAUUUCUGAUACUUGAAUCGGUUUUUAAGUUACUUUCACAUUUUUCUUAGUUUUCAUGUGAUAGUUACUACUUAAUCAUACAUACUAUUAAACAUGUAUAUCAUCAGCCACUCUAUUAGCUAAUCACUAGAAAAUACUUACACAUCAUUCAUUGAUCAUAUCAUAUCAAAAGAAACCAAGUUCCUAUACAUGCCAUACACAAAACGAAACGUCAACUAUACCCAUGUGAUUUCUUCGAUAGUGUGAUCGGGUCUCUGACGUUUCUUUCGAUCCCUGAGUGGCUUGAUAAAAACUAUAAAAAAAAAUAAAGAGAGUAAGCACUAGGCUUAGUAAGCUUACAAGCAAAUAAAUUACAAUAUUCAACAUAAUGAAUAAUUAUACAUAAUGUCACCUAGCCUCAUAAACUUUCUGUACUUCUCAUUUUCUACCUUCUUCUUUACUCACUUACCUUCUUUCUUACCUGACCUUUCACUAUUCAUAAAUAUAAUCUACCUUCCCUUUUGCUGAUAAUUCACUAUAAUUUAACGUGUACAAUGACCCGUUGAACCACUUGGAAUACUAAGGAUACUAGGGUCGUUCCUGUCUAUCAAUAUCCUGCCAAUGCCAUGUCUUCGACAUGGACUUACAUGAAUUAUUCCUGU